rnacentral:rRNA from 1 species
UACGUAGGGGGCGAGCGUUGUCCGGAUUUAUUGGGCGUAAAGAGCGUGUAGGCGGCCCGGUAAGUCCGCUGUGAAAGUCGGGGGCUCAACCCUCGAAUGCCGGUGGAUACUGUCGGGCUAGAGUGCGGAAGAGGCGAGUGGAAUUCCUGGUGUAGCGGUGAAAUGCGCAGAUAUCAGGAGGAACACCAAUUGCGAAGGCAGCUCGCUGGGACGUAACUGACGCUGAGACGCGAAAGCGUGGGGAGCAAACAGG